rnacentral:tRNA from 1 species
UUCAGAUUGGCUCAGUUGGUAGAGCACUUGCCUAACAUGCCUGAGGUCCCAGGUUCCAUCCCUAGCGCUGCAC